rnacentral:rRNA from 1 species
GGCUACCAUGCAGUCGAGGGGCAGCAUGGUCUUAGCUUGCUAAGGCCGAUGGCGACCGGCGCACGGGUGAGUAACACGUAUCCAACCUGCCGUCUACUCUUGGACAGCCUUCUGAAAGGAAGAUUAAUACAAGAUGGCAUCAUGAGUCCACAUGUUCACAUGAUUAAAGGUAUUCCGGUAGACGAUGGGGAUGCGUUCCAUUAGAUAGUAGGCGGGGUAACGGCCCACCUAGUCUUCGAUGGAUAGGGGUUCUGAGAGGAAGGUCCCCCACAUUGGAACUGAGACACGGUCCAAACUCCUACGGGAGGCAGCAGUGAGGAAUAUUGGUCAAUGGGCGAGAGCCUGAACCAGCCAAGUAGCGUGAAGGAUGACUGCCCUAUGGGUUGUAAACUUCUUUUAUAAAGGAAUAAAGUCGGGUAUGCAUACCCGUUUGCAUGUACUUUAUGAAUAAGGAUCGGCUAACUCCGUGCCAGCAGCCGCGGUAAUACGGAGGAUCCGAGCGUUAUCCGGAUUUAUUGGGUUUAAAGGGAGCGUAGAUGGAUGUUUAAGUCAGUUGUGAAAGUUUGCGGCUCAACCGUAAAAUUGCAGUUGAUACUGGAUAUCUUGAGUGCAGUUGAGGCAGGCGGAAUUCGUGGUGUAGCGGUGAAAUGCUUAGAUAUCACGAAGAACUCCGAUUGCGAAGGCAGCCUGCUAAGCUGCAACUGACAUUGAGGCUCGAAAGUGUGGGUAUCAAACAGGAUUAGAUACCCUGGUAGUCCACACGGUAAACGAUGAAUACUCGCUGUUUGCGAUAUACAGCAAGCGGCCAAGCGAAAGCGUUAAGUAUUCCACCUGGGGAGUACGCCGGCAACGGUGAAACUCAAAGGAAUUGACGGGGGCCCGCACAAGCGGAGGAACAUGUGGUUUAAUUCGAUGAUACGCGAGGAACCUUACCCGGGCUUAAAUUGCAGAUGAAUUACGGUGAAAGCCGUAAGCCGCAAGGCAUCUGUGAAGGUGCUGCAUGGUUGUCGUCAGCUCGUGCCGUGAGGUGUCGGCUUAAGUGCCAUAACGAGCGCAACCCUUGUUGUCAGUUACUAACAGGUUCCGCUGAGGACUNUGACAAGACUGCCAUCGUAAGAUGUGAGGAAGGUGGGGAUGACGUCAAAUCAGCACGGCCCUUACGUCCGGGGCUACACACGUGUUACAAUGGGGGGGUACAGAGGGCCGCUACCACGCGAGUGGAUGCCAAUCCCAAAAACCUCUCUCAGUUCGGACUGGAGUCUGCAACCCGACUCCACGAAGCUGGAUUCGCUAGUAAUCGCGCAUCAGCCACGGCGCGGUGAAUACGUUCCCGGGCCUUGUACACACCGCCCGUCAAGCCAUGGGAGCCGGGGGUACCUGAAGUGCGUAACCGCGAGGAGCGCCCUAGG